rnacentral:tRNA from 1 species
GGAAGGGUACCAAAGCGGUCAUAAUGGCACCGACUCGAAAUCGGCUGGGGGCGAAAGCUCCACGUGGGUUCGAAUCCCACCCCUUCCG